UACGUAGGGGGCGAGCGUUGCCCGGAUUCAUUGGGCGUAAAGGGCGCGUAGGCGGUCACGGUGCGUCCCGCGUGAAAUCUCCCGGCUCACCUGGGGGACUGCGCUUGAGACGUGUGGGCUUGAGUGGGGAAGAGGGUCGUGGAAUUCCCAGUGUAGAGGUGAAAUUCGUAGAUAUUGGGAAGAACACCGGUGGCGAAGGCGGCGACCUGGUCCUUGACUGACGCUGAGGCGCGAAAGCGUGGGGAGCAAACAGG
rnacentral:rRNA from 1 species